UGUCGGACCCAAUAUUUGAAGCCAGAUGUGUGGAGAGGUUAAUCACUCCCCUCACCGGCAGUGGAUGCAGCCACACUGCUGCCUGCAAAACAUCUUUAUUGCUUCAACGCAAGGAAGGCUCUAGAAGCAUCUAGUUUGUCUAUGAUUGCUUCUCAUAUAUUUUUAUGCAAGGAAGGCUCUAGAAGCAUUUGGUUUGUCCAUGCAGAUGAUCUUAAUUACCUGGUUAUCAAUUAGCUUAAGCAAAGCUAAUUUCAUGCUUGCCACCCUCACACAACAUCGGGAUGCGUUUUGCACGAGAAGCAACGGCAAGGUUUGCCUUCUACAGCAGUCUAGUUUCUUGUUACCAUUGUCUAAUAAUCAAUACCAUCUUAAGCAUCAUGCGAUAGUUGAAGCAGGAAACAUGCACAUGCGCUCACCUUCCGGUUGCAUUUCAUCACAUAAAAGUGCCACAAACUAGCAAUACAACGAUAGGUAGCUUUAUGUGAAUUCGCAUUAAUAAUCCAUGCCACACAUACAAUAGCGAUAGUAGAUAGAAAGUUUAUCAUAUAGUAGUAGCUUGAGUAACUUCCAUGUUGUUUGGUUAAUGCUGCCUAUGAUAGUUGAUGAUCUUCUUGUUUGGUCUAGACGUACCUUCAGUUCUGUAAACAUAUUAAAUUAUCAGAGCAUGCACAACAAAUCCAAGUUAUGAUAAACAACUGACACAUCCUGAUUCUGGAUUAGGAACUCACAAAUUUGAAAAUUGCUUUAUCUUAUUUGAUCAAGGAUAGGUUGUUGUUGUUGUAACGAUGUUCUUAUAUCUAUGCCUAACAUCUGCAUGCGAGGCACCCCUAACCCUUUUUUAUUAUUGUAAUUAACUUUCAAAAGUUGCAUAUAGACUUAUAUGAUGUGCUGUCUAAACUAGGUAGGCACCUCUGUCGGACCCAAUAUUUGAAGCCAGAUGUGUGGAGAGGUUAAUCACUCCCCUCACCGGCAGUGGAUGCAGCCACACUGCUGCCUGCAAAACAUCUUUAUUGCUUCAACGCAAGGAAGGCUCUAGAAGCAUUUGGUUUGUCCAUGCAGAUGAUCUUAGUUACCUGGUUAUCAAUUAGCUUAAGCAAAGCUAAUCUCAGGCUUGCCACCCUCACACAACAUCGGGAUGCGUUUUGCACGAGAAGCAACGGCAAGGUUUGCCUUCUACAGCAGUCUAGUUUCUUGUUACCAUUGUCUAAUAAUCAAUACCAUCUUAAGCAUCAUGCGAUAGUUGAAGCAGGAAACAUGCACAUGCGCUCACCUUCCGGUUGCAUUUCAUCACAUAAAAGUGCCACAAACUAGCAAUACAACGAUAGGUAGCUUUAUGUGAAUUCGCAUUAAUAAUCCAUGCCACACAUACAAUAGCGAUAGUAGAUAGAAAGUUUAUCAUAUAGUAGUAGCUUGAGUAACUUCCAUGUUGUUUGGUUAAUGCUGCCUAUGAUUGUUGAUGAUCUUCUUGUUUGGUCUAGACGUACCUUCAGUUCUGUAAACAUAUUAAAUUAUCAGAGCAUGCACAGCAAAUCCAAGUUGAAAAUUAAUUACAAUGAUAAACAACUGACACAUCCUGAUUCUGGAUUAGGAACUCGCAAAUUUGAAAAUUGCUUUAUCUUAUUUGAUCAAGGAUAGGUUGUUGUUGUUGUAACGAUGUUCUUAUAUCUAUGCCUAACAUCUGCAUGCGAGGCACCCCUAACCCUUUUUUAUUAUUGUAAUUAACUUUCAAAAGUUGCAUAUAGACUAAUAUGAUGUGCUGUCUAAACUAGGUAGGCACCUCUGUCGGACCCAAUAUUUGAAGCCAGAUGUGUGGAGAGGUUAAUCACUCCCCUCACCGGCAGUGGAUGCAGCCACACUGCUGCCUGCAAAACAUCUUUAUUGCUUCAACGCAAGGAAGGCUCUAGAAGCAUUUGGUUUGUCCAUGCAGAUGAUCUUAGUUACCUGGUUAUCAAUUAGCUUAAGCAAAGCUAAUCUCAGGCUUGCCACCCUCACACAACAUCGGGAUGCGUUUUGCACGAGAAGCAACGGCAAGGUUUGCCUUCUACAGCAGUCUAGUUUCUUGUUACCAUUGUCUAAUAAUCAAUACCAUCUUAAGCAUCAUGCGAUAGUUGAAGCAGGAAACAUGCACAUGCGCUCAC
rnacentral:lncRNA from 1 species